CCUACGGGAGGCAGCAGUGAGGAAUAUUGGUCAAUGGACGCAAGCCUGAACCAGCCAAGUAGCGUGAAGGAUGACGGCCCUACGGGUUGUAAACUUCUUUUAUGAGGGAAUAAAGUGAGGCACGUGUGCCUUUUUGUAUGUACUGUAUGAAUAAGGAUCGGCUAAAUCCGUGCCAGCAGCCGCGGUAAUACGGAGGUUCCGGGCGUUAUCCGGAUUUAUUGGGUUUAAAGGGAGCGUAGAUGGGUUGGUAAGUCUGUUGUGAAAGGCGGCGGCGCAACCGUGACACUGCAGUGGAUACUGGCAGGCGUGAGUACAGUUGAGGUAGGCGGAAUUCGUGGUGUAGCGGUGAAAUGCUUAGAUAUCACGAAGAACUCCGAUUGCGAAGGCAGCUUACUAAACUGCCACUGACAUUGAUGCUCGAAAGUGUGGGUAUCAAACAGGAUUAGAUACCCGGGUAGUC
rnacentral:rRNA from 1 species